rnacentral:rRNA from 1 species
UACGUAGGGGCCGAGCGUUGUCCGGAUUUACUGGGCGUAAAGCGCGCGCAGGCGGCUCGUCAAGCCUGACGUGAAAGCCCCCGGCUCAACCGGGGAGGGUCGUCGGGGACUGGCGGGCUUGAGGGCGGCAGGGGUUGGUGGAAUUCCCGGUGUAGUGGUGAAAUGCGUAGAGAUCGGGAGGAACACCCGUGGCGAAGGCGGCCAACUGGGCCGGACCUGACGCUGAGGCGCGAAGGCGUGGGGAGCGAACGGG